UUUUUUUUUAACAUUCUUUGGGUCAUUGUAGACGUCAAAAUCUAAUCCAGUUUUCGAUAGAUUUAGAAGCUUCUUUUCAUUAAAUUUUUGAUUAUCUUGCAUACAGUGCUUAUCAGAGGUGAGCAAGAGGGGCGAUUGCCCCCUGCUUCACGAUUUUAGGGGAUUUUUAUCAUUGUAUAUUUGUCAUUUUAAAAGUAAACUUAUGGCGGUCGGAUGGCCGAGUUGUAAUACUAUCGAAGUGCCAUCCAGGAGACCCGGGUUCGCGUCUGGGGUCCGGUUUCUCCUGAAAAGUUUUUUCAAGGGGCUGGCCGUGGUUCGGCGACCAUCUGGCCCCCUCCACAGGUGUAGGUGUAGCCCGUGGUUGGAACUGGCUCUGCCCCUUAGUAAUCUCCCUGAUUGGAAAGGGGCAUAAAAUAGGCAAAAAAAAAUAAUGGAAUAAAUAUUAU
rnacentral:lncRNA from 1 species